rnacentral:pre_miRNA from 1 species
AGUACUCUUAUCCUGAAUUUCAGGAUUUUAUCCUGAAUUUCAGGAUUUUAUCCUGAAAAAAAUCAAAUUCAAAUUAAAAUACUAAAAUUCUGGAUAAAACCCUGAAAUUUAGGAUAAGAAUACU